AUUCUUGGAGCUGGAUGAUCUAUCAUGGUAAACCGUUGAAUUGCCAUGAUUUGACAUAUACUCAGCCUCCUACAUUGAUGGGAUAGACGCCUUUUCCGGUUGAAGACGAGUUGAAUGUGUUUGAUAACGUGACCUCCUGAAAUUAUUAUUGCUCACCAGUCUUUCAGAUCAAAUUUGUUAACCGGUUUGUUAACUUUCAGAAGUUCACCUUAACAGACACAACUUUGAGUUGCUUCUGCACAUUCAUUUUUAUUGUUGGAACGGAACUACUGUAUUGUAUUAACAAUUAUCAGGUUUACCUGGGAUUACAAUGCACUUGUUUUAUGUCUAUAAUCUUAAACUAGACUUGUGUAGUUUCGUAGUUUGUUUCUUUUGGGUCAAUAACGUUGAGGUUAUAAUCAUGAGGUUGUGACUUGGCUUAUGUUUUUACUGAACCGUCUUUGGGUCAAUAACUCUAAUUUUGCACUUUGGAAGAUCAAACCAAACUCUCUUACAAGAGUGACAACUUCUACAAUUUUUUUUAGUACAAGCGAUUCGAGAAAAGGGAACAAUGGACUUUACAUUAAGCUAUAUAUUUUGGGUUUUUCCAAUCUUAUAUUUUCCACGACCUCUUGUCAAAACGCCAACAACCAGCAAUACAUUUGUUUGGGGGUUAAAUGUCAAGACAUUCUAGACCCACUUUUAACACAUUGUGAACCAAAACUUAGUAAGUCUCAAGACAUUCUAGACCCACUUUUAAUAAAAACGAAAUGAAAUACUUUUAAAUUAAUUUUAGCAAAUACCCCAAUAACAAAAAAAAAAAAAAAAAACCUUGAAAAUCCAGUUUUACAUCUCAAAGCUCAGAAUAUUUUGAAAGAAAAAACCCACAAAAAAAAAGAAGAAGAGAAAAUUGAUUAAUCAUUUGUGAGAGACAGAGAGAGAGUCAGAAAUCUCGUGUGGAAGUGCCGCUCAUAGAAACCAAGAGAUGCCUGGUACUGCGUUUGCACAUUGAAUAUCAUCAUCCCCUCUCCUUCAUAUAUAUAUAUUAACACGAAACCCUAAUUACAGAACCACACAACGCCAUUGAAAUUUAGACGAGCUUUGUUUGGAUAGAAUAACAGAGGCUGAUGAGGCUUGCCUUUUAUAAAGAACGCUGCUCUCAUAGCGGUGCCCUAGCCUCGGCUUACGGAGUCGUUGGCCCUAAGCUCUUGCUACGUCGUCGUUUUGAAUUAGAGUUGGCCCUAGCCUCUUACUACCGGAUAGAGUCGGCCCAUAUUUACGCUGGCCCAAACAAAUAAGAAACUCAUUUUAAAAUUCUUUUGGGGUAAAAAAAUAAAUAUGGGUCAUAAAAUAAAUAAAGACAUUGUUUGGGCCAGAAAGUAAAUAAUAAAACUUUGAACGCGUUAUAAAUCGACGAAGUAGCGUGACGAAAACAAAACACUCCGCUCUCUACUGCUUUGUUCUCAGUUCGCUCGUCGUCUGUUCCUGCCUUUCAAUCUCGUUCUCCAUUUUAGGUAUUUCUCUCUCUUUCGAUUCAAAUUUUCGAUUUCUCUGGUUCUUGUUUCUAGGUUUGGAUUCAUUUUCUUUAUUUAUCUCUCUCUCUCUCUCUCUUUUUUUUUUGGUUCACGUCUUUGUUUUUCGUCAAUUCAAAUAUUGUUAUCUCUUACGGGUUCGUGGGUAGGUGACAGAAUUUGAAUAUUGAAUAUAAUUUAAGGAGAUUAUUCGCAUAGGUUGAUUCUGUGUUUCAAUUUGGGUUCUUUCUUUUUGCGAUCUAGGGUUUGUGGAUUUUUUUUUUUGGGUUUUGAAUUUUAUUGCUUUACGAUUAUUGAUAUGAUAUUUUUCGUGAAUUAUGCUCAUUUUACGAUCUGGGUUUGAAUUUUUUUUCCUAUCUGGUUAUUUUGAGGAUUCGUAUGUGGGAUUACUUCUUUUAAAUUCAAUGUGUCUUGCUGUUGAAUAUUUUAUAUCGAUUAUCAAUUAGGUUUUUUGACAAUUCAAAUAUCAAUUUUUUGCGAUGUUGUUUUGUCUUGAGUUUUUAAUAUAUAAAAGAGUUUACUGCUUCCUGUGUUUCAUUGCUUAGUUUGUAGUUAUUUUGCCUUUGGUUUUCUGCUGCUUAACUAAGUUUAUGUGUAAUAAUGUUGGAAACAGGGUCUUCAUUUUGCACCCGAUGUCUUUUGAUCACAACAAGGAACAUUCAUCAAUUAUUAUAGCAUUUUGUUUUAUGAACCGAGGCAGACUGUGGUUGCGGAGGAUAUUGUUUCGGGACUGGACUUGAAACUCCUUUUCUUUGGAGGAAAGGUUCUUGAUUCAUUCACUUCUUGUGAGGGAUUUCUAGUUUGAGAUUUAAGGGUUCUUAUUAGGUAGGGGGACUCUCAUGGGGAAAUCAUCCUUGGCUCCUGGGUUUCGUUUCAAGCCAACUGAUGUUGAGCUUGUGCAAUACUACUUGAAGAGAAAGUUACUGGGGAAAAGGCUUGGUUUUAAAGUCAUUGCAGAGGUUGACAUUUACAAGUAUGAUCCUUGGGAUCUUCCAGGUAUAGGUCACUUCACAUUCUCGCCUUUGUAUUCUUUAUCUAUCAUCUAGUUCAUUCUUUGUAUUAUUUAGUUUCUCACUGUGUUUUUUUUUUUUUUUCAUUUCCAGACAAAUCUUGCUGGGAAAGUGGGGAUCUGAAACGGUAUUUCUUUUGUCCGAGAGAAAAGAAGUAUCGUAAUGGGAAUAGAAUUCAACGUGCCACUGAAGGUGGUUACUGGAAGACCACAGGAAAGGAUAGAUCCGUUCUUUACAGUGGUGAAGUUGUUGGGUGGAUAAAAACUUUAAUUUUUCACACUGGUCGAGCCCCACGUGGAGAUCGAACAAAUUGGGUUAUGCAUGAGUAUAGGCUUGAAGAUCAGGGCCUGGCUGAUAGGGGUGUGCCUCUGGUAAGUGCUACUCUUCCUCCUUUAAUUAUUUUUAUUUAUUCCUUUUAUUCAAUGGAAUAUUUUCGUGCUACUGAAUUGGACUUGUAAUGUUACUUCUUCUUACUUUAUACAAUUUGUUUUACUGCUUUUCAUGGCUUGUGGGGUUUUUGUUGAAUAAGUUUUGUGGCUUUUUGGUGUUGCAGGACUCAUAUGUGAUCUGUAUGAUUUUCCAAAAAGAUGGGUUGGGGCCGAAAAUUGGUGCACAAUAUGGUGCACCCUUUAAAGAGGAAGACUGGACUGAUGAUGAAGUUGAAAUUUGUUCAGAAGCAAUCCCGCAUGAAAAUAUGUCUGAGCCAAACCUUGUAGUGCCGAGCAACUGUAAUAGUUCCAUCACUACUAGCGGACAUACCCCAAAGGGUAUACACACAAGUCCUUCUGAAUCAUGCAUAUCAGAUGUUUUACCACCUUCUUGCAAUGUUCACCAAUUGGUUUCCAGUAAUCAUGUUACAAUGGAGAAGCUUCAUGGUUCCGAUGAUGAUAUCUUGUCAAUGUUGAAUUGCUUCACUGAAGGAAGCACUUCCUUAAUGAAAGAAAAUGACAAAAAUGAGGUGUGUAAUGCGCCCUUCUCUUUUUUCUACAUGUAGUAUAUAUCAUUCCUGAUCUACAGCAAGUGGAAAUGCAAAUCAUGAUCUAAUUUAUGCAAUCAGGAUAGGUUUAUGUUGUGACACUCUGCUCAUGCCAUAGAUUUCCAAUUUCAGAUGUGCUAAUGUGGCAUAAUACAGUUUUGUAUAUUUUACUUUUGUCAUUGAUGUCAUCCAGGUUGUUGAAAGAGACAAAUUAGCCUUGUUUUUUUUUUUUCUGUUUCUGAUGAGGGUCUUGUGUGCUCUGCAAAUUCCGUGCAUCUGUAGUUUGCGUUAUUUCCUUCAUCUCUCUCCUCUGUUGCACCGAUACGCCGGAUUUUUGGGGUAUGCUCGUAUCCGAUACGGCGCCGAUACGAUACGGUACCGAUACGGCAUCGAUACGUAUCCGAUACGCCAUGUGGCGUAUCGUAGACUUUUCUAGGAUGUUGACUUUACGAUACGGCUCCGAUACUCCAUUGAUACGGUCCCGAUACAUCAAUGGGUAACUUUGACGGCAACUAAAAGAUAAGAGGAAGAAGGAGGAAGGAGGAAGAAGGAAGAAUGAAGAAGAAGAUAACUUACUUGCGCUUGCAGCUGCUGCAAAUCUGCAGUUGCAGAUAGUUGCUGUGCGAAGAAGAGGCGGCUAACUAGUGAAGAAGAUGAUGUUGGGUGCCCUAAUUACAAUACUCACCGUUUUAGUUGCAUGUUUGUUAAAAAAAUUGUUUUAUACCUUUUUAAUGGUGCCCAAAAACUGAAACAAGUCAUAUAUGGCCUAGAAAAACAUAAGGAACCAGAAAAAAAAGCCCAAAAUGCUAAUUUUACAUAUAUAUAUAUAUAUAAUUUUACAUAUAUAUGUUUAUAUUUUUAUAAUUUUUAUAUUUAUAUUAUUUUAAUCGCCGUAUCGGUGCCGUACCCGUAUCCUAUUUUUUAAAAAUUUGCCGUAUCGACGUAUCGUAUCGUAUCGUAUCGCCGUACCCGUAUCCGUAUCGGUGCAACAUAGUCUCUCUCUCUCUCUCUCUCUCAGAGCAUCCUAAUUGGUUCCUUUUUCCUUUUUCAUACUGCUUUAUUUUGGAGAGGUUUGGUGUUUCUCUGACUGUUUUUCUGUUUUUACUUUUCCAUGGAUGGAGGGCAAAUUUUCCUAUUCAUUUAUUCAUGGAGAAAUGAUAUGUUUUUAAUUAUAGUGCAAAUGUUAUUUCUUGAAGCUAGAGUUUUAAACUAGAUGGCGUAACUAGAAAAGUUGAUGGCUUUGAAUUUCAAUUUUGAAAAUGUCAUUAUAUCUGUUAAAAGAAAAAAAUGAUUCCAUAAGUACAUUAGUACAAAUUAAUUAUCUUGCUAAUGUUCUUUAAACUUCUAAUGUAUGCUAAUGUAAAACUUCUUCACGGUUUGCAGGAGCUUGGUAAUGUCAUUCCUUCUGGAAAUGCUAGUGCUACACCCAAUUUCAAUAGUGAUGAUAUUUAUGAAGGUUUAGGAGACUUGGGGAAGAUGGCUAGAGUGAGUGAAGAUGGAUAUAAUUUCUCCAAUGUGCAUAAUUCAAUCUUUGCUCCGGCUCAAAUGCAGCUAGGUGACAAUGAGCAAUUCUUGGAGCUGGAUGAUCUAUCUUGGUAAACCGUUGAAUUGCCCUGCUUUGACAUAUACUCGGCCUCCUACUUUGAUGGGAGAGACGCCUUUUCCGGUUGAAGACGAGUUGAAUGUGUUUGAUAACUUCACUUCUGAAAUUAUUUUUGCUCUCUAGUCCUUCAGAUCAAAUUUGUUAACCAGUUUGCUAACUUUCAGAAGUUCACCUUAUCAGACACAACUUUGAGUUGCCUCUGCACAUUCAUUUUCAUUGUUGGGACAGAACGGUACUGAAAAUUGUGUUUACCGUAUUGUAUUAAAAAUUAUCAGGUUUACCUGGGAUUACCGUAUUGUUUUACUAUAAUCUUUUACGAGG
rnacentral:lncRNA from 1 species